GAGCAGUGUAGAGCCCCAGACCUGCACCAGUAGCUCACUCUGGGCUGCUCCCAGCCCAGCUUGGGGCUGAUUGCUGCUUUGCUCUCUGCUGGUUCCCUCCAGUUCCUGCCUCCCUGAGGAUUCCCCCCUCUCCCAGAGCCUGCCCCGGUGCCGUGCAGGGAGGGAUUGGUCGGAGUCCAUGGAAUAUAAACUCUGCUCUGCUUUCCUUGGGGCAGUUGCACUCAAACUGGAAAGAGCCCAGGGCUCAGUCCUGCUGCUUCUCAGUUCAGAGCCAGAGUGGGUUCUCAGGAAUUCAUCCCCUUCUUCAAAUAAAUGGCUCAUCAGAGCCCAGGAACAGGGCUGUCCGUGGUCCACAGCAUGGCCUGUUCCUCCCCAACAGCUCCUGGCCUGUUCCUUCAUGGUCUGUUCCUCCCCAACAUCUCCUGGUCUGUUCCUUCCCUACAGCUCCUGGCCUGUUCUUCAUGGUCUGUUCCUUCCCUACAGCUCCUGGCCUGUUCCUUCAUGGUCUGUUCCUUCCCAGCAGCUCCUGGCCUGUUCUUCAUGGCCUGUUCCUCCCCAACAGCUCCUGCUCUGUUCCUUCCCUGCAUUCACUGUCUUUGCCUUCCCAGCCUGGCAUUGCCUUUCCUUCCCAACCUGGAGUUGCCUUUCCCUUCCCAACCCAUCACUGCCUUUGCCUUCCCAGGGCUGGGCAGCUCCUGCAGGGACAUGGGGACAGGGCUGGACACCUGCAGGGACAUGGGGACAGGGUUGGGCAGCUCCUUCAGGGACAUGUCACACCUCCUGCAGGGACAGGGACAUGGGGACAGGGACAGCUGCCUGGACACUCCUGGCAGCAGCUCAGCAGCUCAGAGACAUCUGCUGGGUGCUGACAGCUCUAAUGAAAUGUAAAAACCAACUCCCUAAAAAGCCAAAGGAUUGGGAAAUGGGGCCUGAUGCUCCAAGGACAGCUCUGGAACAGCACACACGGGCCUGUGCAGGAAUCCUGCAGGGGGGAUUUAUAUCCCAUGGACAUCACAGGGACAAAAAGGACCCACUGGGGUUUCUGUGAGGGACAAGAGGCCUUUGGGCUUCUGUGACACCAGUGAAGCAACAAAAACAACAAUAAACCCCCUGCCCUGGCUUCAGGUGAGGGGGGCUGUCACCAGGGGAGGUUUUCUGCUGGAACUCAGCUCCAAA
rnacentral:lncRNA from 1 species